rnacentral:rRNA from 1 species
CUACGGGUUGCAGCAGUUAGGGAUAUUCGGCAAUGGGGGAAACCCUGACCGAGCAAUGCCGCGUGAAUGAAGAAGUAUUUCGAUAUGUAAAGUUCUGUUGUUAAGGAAGAAAGGUACGAAUAGGAAAUGAUUCGUAAUUGACGGUACUUAACCAGAAAGCCCCUGCUAACUACGUGCCAGCAGCAGCGGUAAUACGUAGGGGGCGAGCGUUAUCCGGAAUUAUUGGGCGUAAAGGGUGCGUAGGCGGCCUGUCAAGUCCGAGUUGAAAGCCCACGGCUUAACCGUGGAGGGUGCUCGGAAACUGAUAGGCUUGAAUCCAGAAGAGGCAAGUGGAAUUCUAUGUGGAGCGGUGGAAUGCGUAGAUAUAUGGAGGAACACCAGUGGCGAAGGCGGCUUGCUGGGCUGCUAUUGACGCUGAUGCACGAAAGCGUGGGGAGCAAACAGGAUUAGAUACCCCUGUAGUC